UUUUCCUUUACUUCUGUCAUUCUAAAAUCCAUUUUAAUGCCCAUCCAUCAUGUUUGAAUACGAUUCAAAUACGAUUUACGGUAUUUGGUUUUAAAGUCUUGCUGUUUGUUGAUUUACGGAUUUUGUUUAGGAUUAAAGUUACAGCAAGCAUACAACACUGUAAUAAAACAUAAAACGGGACUGUGCUCACAAGGAUGAUAUGAGAACUUAUGACAUGGAAUGUAUAACUAUGAGCAAAAAAGACCUUCAAAGUUUUGUUUCAAACAAAGUUACAGAAUGCUAUCAAGUUAAAAAAGUUUCAUCAAGAGUUCAAGAAAUUUGUGGUAGAGUUUGAUUUGAAAGUUAGAAUGCAGCUACUGAAAGAGCACUUAGCCAGUACCAUAAGUCACAUUCACAGUGCCUACGAAAACUCAUGUUUUCAUGUUUUCAUUUUCAUUCUAUGCUAUGUAAAGAUGCCUCUAAUCACAAGGAUAGUAGUUUCUACUAUUAGACCAAUUUAUACCAGUUUUGUAGCAGGA